rnacentral:lncRNA from 1 species
CUGUGUCACCAGAUUGCGCUGGGUCUUCACUUGUCAAAUCAACAACAGGUGCCGCAGAGGAGUCCUCGCCCGACGGAUUUCCAAAUAUUGUAGUAUGGGAACAUUAUACUUCAGAUUGUCAAUGUUUCAUCUGUUAUGACUAGACCUUUUUGUUAGGGAAUCAACAGGGACUUCAGUAUCUUCCAGUACAUUAAAUAAAUAUAAACUAUUCUAAUAUUCUGUUCCUAAAUUAAAUCGUCCAUGUAAAUCUUUCCUUUUCCUGUAAUAGCUUGAUCCAUUUUGUUACAUCCCAGCCCUCUAUUUUUCCUAACCAAGGAUUCACUCCUAUAUCCAUAUUUUCAGUUUUUGACAACAUAGCGUUAAUCCUAUGAAAGCCUAAGCUAUUGGAAACUGCAGCAGCUACAAGGUUU